rnacentral:rRNA from 1 species
ACGAGGAAUUCCUAGUAAGCGCGAUUCAUCAAAUCGUGCUGAUUACGUCCCUGCAAAAUGUACACACCGCCCGUCGCUUUUACCGAUUGAGUGUUCAGGUGAGUCUUCUUGAUAGUUGCAAAAUUAAAAAUUAAACAAACCUUAGCACCUAGAGGAAAAAGAAGUCGUAACAAGGUUUCCGUAGGUGAACCUGCGGAAGGAUC